AGAUCUUCUCGUGAUCCUCCAGUUAUGUCUCCACAUCACGAUACACAAGCUUACAUGCUUAAAAAGAAAGAAGAGAGAGGAGCAUAUGAACCACAAAGAAGACCUAUAAUGAACAAAGAUCAACUAGAAACAAAAAUGGACACUAGAGCAACUUCUCCGAAUUCUCUCGGCAAUCAUUUUGUCGACAUCCAUGAAGUCCCGGAGGAAGAAGAAGAGGAGGAGGAGGAGGAGGAAGAAGGGACUCGAGCGACUAAACUGGCCGAGAAGGCAGAGAAGCGGUUGACCAAGCUGACUAAGACCUGCGAAGCCAAGAGACAACAAAGAAGUGCUACGCUCAGCAGGCAGGUCUCGUUAGAGACGGGCUUUUCGGUUCUCAACAAAGAAUCCAAAGCUAAAAAUGACAAGCGAAAAAUGCUUUCUAGGAGUGGGAACAGCUUUGGAGGGUUUGGUUCCGUUCACAGAGGCGGUGUUGAAGGAAGGAGAGGGGAUUUCAGCAUUUUCAGGACGAAAUCGGGUCUACGGAAACAGAACUCUUUGUUGCCUCCGAAGAAGGAGAGUGGUGAACUUGGUAGACAGAGAAAUGAUGGAUUUGGGUUGGGAUUUGGAGUGGCUGAGGAUGAGUCUGUCAAUAGAAGUGUCCCUGCUGGAAGAUACUUUGCUGCUCUUAGAGGACCUGAAUUAGACCAAGUCAAGGACUAUGAAGACAUCCUCCUCCCAAAAGACGAGCUAUGGCCGUUCCUCCUCCGUUUCCCAAUCGGCUGCUUCGGCAUCUGCUUAGGCCUCAGCAGCCAAGCCAUCCUCUGGCAUUCCCUCUCCGCAAGCCCAUCCACCCAGUUCCUCCACAUUCCCCCUCACAUCAACCUCUCCCUCUGGCUCCUAGCCCUCCUAGUCCUCCUCUUAGUCUCCAUCACCUACUUCUUGAAAUGCAUCUUCUACUUCGAAGCCGUCAGGCGCGAGUACUUCCACCCGGUCCGUGUCAACUUCUUCUUCGCCCCUUGGAUCGUUUGCAUGUUCCUGGUCAUCGGGGUGCCCCCGAAAAUUUGCCCCUCCGCCCCCCACCCGGCCAUCUGGUGCGUUUUCAUGGCACCCGUUUUCUUCCUCGAGCUCAAGAUAUACGGGCAGUGGCUCUCGGGGGGGAAGAGAAGGCUGUGCAAGGUGGCGAACCCUUCGUCGCAUUUGUCUGUGGUUGGGAACUUUGUCGGGGCGAUUUUGGCGGCCAAGGUGGGGUGGAUGGAGCCGGCCAAGUUUCUGUGGGCGGUGGGGUUCGCGCAUUACCUUGUGGUGUUCGUGACGCUGUACCAGAGGCUGCCGACGAGCGAGGCGCUGCCCAAGGAGUUGCACCCGGUUUAUUCGAUGUUUAUCGCGGCUCCGUCCGCGGCAAGUGUGGCUUGGGAGGGGAUUUAUGGGGAAUUUGAUGGGUUGUCGAGGACUUGCUAUUUCAUUGCUUUGUUUUUGUAUGUUUCGCUGGUUGUGAGGAUCAACUUCUUCUGGGGUUUCAGGUUUUCAGUGGCAUGGUGGUCUUACACCUUCCCCAUGACCACAGCAUCAUUAGCGACAAUCAAGUACGCGGAGCAUGUGCCUUCGGACAUAACCAAGGGCCUCGCUCUGACUCUCUCGUUCAUGUCAUCUGCGAUGGUGUGCGUGCUGCUCGUAUCCACCCUCCUCCAUGCCUUCGUGUGGCACACGUUGUUUCCGAACGACCUUGCCAUUGCCAUAACGAAGCGCAGGCACGGAAAGGACCAGAAGAAGCCCAUCAAAAGAGCCUACGAUAUAAGGCGCUGGACAAAGACCCCUCUCUCCCUUGUUUCAUCGUUAACCAAACACAGCUCUGGGAACAAGGACUCCGAUGAGCAGAAAGAAGCUGAAAACUGAACCACGUACAUAUAAUUUGGAGGAUUGAACCCAUAUCCAACAUAGACAUUUGUUUUGUGCUUGUAUUCAAUGUAGAAGUAAGACUCUUUGUUGAUCCUUAAUGUGCAAAAGGUGUUGGACAAAUAACGUUUCAUCCUCGUAGUAAAAGGGCCAAUUGGAUGUUGCAUCAAAUGGGUUGAAUCAACG